UACAGAGGGUGCAAGCGUUGUUCGGAAUUAUUGGGCGUAAAGCGCGUGUAGGCGGCUUUGCAAGUCGGAUGUGAAAGCCCUCGGCUUAACUGAGGAAGUGCACCCGAAACUGAGUAGCUAGAGUACGAAAGAGGGUCGCGGAAUUCCCGGUGUAGAGGUGAAAUUCGUAGAUAUCGGGAGGAACACCGGUGGCGAAGGCGGCGACCUGGGUCGAGACUGACGCUGAGGCGCGAAAGCGUGGGGAGCAAACAGG
rnacentral:rRNA from 1 species